rnacentral:rRNA from 1 species
AGAGUUUGAUCCUGGCUCAGGAUGAACGCUGGCGGCGUGCCUAACACAUGCAAGUCGAACGAAGCACUUUGAUUUGAUUCUUCGGAUGAAGAUCUUUGUGACUGAGUGGCGGACGGGUGAGUAACGCGUGGGUAACCUGCCUCGUACUGGGGGAUAACAGUUAGAAAUGACUGCUAAUACCGCAUAAGACCACAGAGUCACAUGACUCAGUGGGAAAAACUCCGGUGGUACGAGAUGGACCCGCGUCUGAUUAGUUAGUUGGUGGGGUAACGGCCUACCAAGACGACGAUCAGUAGCCGACCUGAGAGGGUGACCGGCCACAUUGGGACUGAGACACGGCCCAAACUCCUACGGGAGGCAGCAGUGGGGAAUAUUGCACAAUGGGGGAAACCCUGAUGCAGCGACGCCGCGUGAGCGAAGAAGUAUUUCGGUAUGUAAAGCUCUAUCAGCAGGGAAGAAAAUGACGGUACCUGACUAAGAAGCACCGGCUAAAUACGUGCCAGCAGCCGCGGUGAUACGUAUGGUGCAAGCGUUAUCCGGAUUUACUGGGUGUAAAGGGAGCGUAGACGGCUGUGUAAGUCUGAAGUGAAAGCCCGGGGCUCAACCGCGGGACUGCUUUGGAAACUAUGCAGCUAGAGUGUCGGAGAGGUAAGUGGAAUUCCCAGUGUAGCGGUGAAAUGCGUAGAUAUUGGGAGGAACACCAGUGGCGAAGGCGGCUUACUGGACGAUCACUGACGUUGAGGCUCGAAAGCGUGGGGAGCAAACAGGAUUAGAUACCCUGGUAGUCCACGCCGUAAACGAUGACUACUAGGUGUCGGGGAGCAAAGCUCUUCGGUGCCGCAGCAAACGCAAUAAGUAGUCCACCUGGGGAGUACGUUCGCAAGAAUGAAACUCAAAGGAAUUGACGGGGACCCGCACAAGCGGUGGAGCAUGUGGUUUAAUUCGAUGCAACGCGAAGAACCUUACCAGGCCUUGACAUCCCUUGCAAUACUAUAGAGAUAUAGUGGAGGUUAUCAAGGUGACAGGUGGUGCAUGGUUGUCGUCAGCUCGUGUCGUGAGAUGUUGGGUUAAGUCCCGCAACGAGCGCAACCCUUGUCUUUAGUUACUAACAUUCAGUUGAGGACUCUAAAGAGACUGCCGGUGAUAAACCGGAGGAAGGUGGGGAUGACGUCAAAUCAUCAUGCCCCUUAUGGCCUGGGCUACACGUGCUACAAUGGCCGGUACAGCGGGAUGCGAUGGCGCGAGCCGGAGCGGAUCCCUGAAAGCCGGCCCCAGUUCGGAUUGGGGGCUGCAACCCGCCCCCAUGAAGUCGGAGUUGCUAGUAAUCGCGGAUCAGCAUGCCGCGGUGAAUGCGUUCCCGGGCCUUGUACACACCGCCCGUCA